rnacentral:rRNA from 1 species
GAUGAACGCUGGCGGCGUGCCUAAUACAUGCAAGUCGAGCGAACAGAUGAGGAGCUUGCUCCUCUGACGUUAGCGGCGGACGGGUGAGUAACACGUGGAUAACCUACCUAUAAGACUGGGAUAACUUCGGGAAACCGGAGCUAAUACCGGAUAAUAUAUUGAACCGCAUGGUUCAAUAGUGAAAGAUGGUUUUGCUGUCACUUAUAGAUGGAUCCGCGCCGCAUUAGCUAGUUGGUAAGGUAACGGCUUACCAAGGCAACGAUGCGUAGCCGACCUGAGAGGGUGGUCGGCCACCCUGGAACUGAGGCACGGUCCAGACUCCUACGGGAGGCAGCAGUAGGGAAUCUUCCGCAAUGGGCGAAAGCCUGACGGAGCAACGCCGCGUGAGUGAUGAAGGUCUUCGGAUCGUAAAACUCUGUUAUUAGGGAAGAACAAAUGUGUAAGUAACUAUGCACGUCUUGACGGUACCUAAUCAGAAAGCCACGGCUAACUACGUG